rnacentral:rRNA from 1 species
GACGAACGCUGGCGGCGUGCUUAACACAUGCAAGUCGAACGGUGAAGCGCCUUCCUUUUGGUGGGUGUGGAUAAGUGGCGAACGGGUGAGUAACACGUGAGUAACCUGCCCCCUUCUUCUGGAUAACCGCAUGAAAGUGUGGCUAAUACGGGAUAUUCUGGGUCUGUCGCAUGGCGGGUCUGGGAAAGAUGCGCCUUUGGGUGUUUUCGGUGGGGGAUGGGCUCGUGGCCUAUCAGCUUGUUGGUGGGGUGAUGGCCUACCAAGGCGGUGACGGGUAGCCGGCCUGAGAGGGUGGACGGUCACACUGGGACUGAGACACGGCCCAGACUCCUACGGGAGGCAGCAGUGGGGAAUAUUGCACAAUGGGCGCAAGCCUGAUGCAGCGACGCCGCGUGAGGGAUGGAGGCCUUCGGGUUGUAAACCUCUUUCGCCAGUGAAGCAGGCCUGCUCCUUGUGGGUGGGUUGACGGUAGCUGGAUAAGAAGCGCCGGCUAACUACGUGCCAGCAGCCGCGGUAAUACGUAGGGCGCGAGCGUUGUCCGGAAUUAUUGGGCGUAAAGAGCUCGUAGGCGGCUGGUCGCGUCUGUCGUGAAAUCCUCUGGCUUAACUGGGGGCUUGCGGUGGGUACGGGCCGGCUUGAGUGCGGUAGGGGAGACUGGAACUCCUGGUGUAGCGGUGGAAUGCGCAGAUAUCAGGAAGAACACCGGUGGCGAAGGCGGGUCUCUGGGCCGUUACUGACGCUGAGGAGCGAAAGCGUGGGGAGCGAACAGG